rnacentral:rRNA from 1 species
AUGGGGUGCAGCAGGCGCGAAACCUCCACAAUGCGCGAAAGCGUGAUGGGGUUAUCCCGAGUGCCGUCCGAUGAGGAUGGCUUUUCAUCGGUGUAAGGAUCCGAUGGAAUAAAGGGGGGGCAAGACUGGUGUCAGCCGCCGCGGUAAUACCAGCCCCCUGAGUGGUAAGGACGAUUAUUUGGCCUAAAGCGUCCGUAGCCGGCUUAUCAAGUCUUUUGUUAAAUCCAACGAUUCAAUCGUUGGGCUGCAAAAGAUACUGUUAUGCUAGAGGACGGGAGAGGUCGACGGUAGUCCAGGGGUAGGGGUGAAAUCCUAUAAUCCUUGGAGGACCACCAGUGGCGAAGGCGGUCGACUAGAACGUGCCUGACGGUGAGGGACGAAAGCUGGGGGAGCGAACCGGAUUAGAUACCCGGGUAGUCCCAGCUGUAAACGAUGCGGGCUAGGUGUUGGGGUAGCCACGAGCUGCCCCAGUGCCGCAGAGAAGUUGUUAAGCCCGCCGCCUGGGGAGUACGGCCGCAAGGCUGAAACUUAAAGGAAUUGGCGGGGGAGCAC